GGGUGAUUAGCUCAGCUGGGAGAGCACCUCCCUUACAAGGAGGGUCGGCGGUUCGAUCCUGUCAUCACCCACCA
rnacentral:tRNA from 1 species